rnacentral:rRNA from 1 species
UACGGAGGGAGCAAGCGUUACUCGGAAUUAUUGGGCGUAAAGGGCGCGUAGGCGAUUUGAAAAGUCUUGUGUGAAAGCCCCGAGCUUAACUCGGGAAGUGCACAAGAAACUGUUGAAUUUGAGUUCCGGAGAGGAAGGCAGAAUUCCCGGUGUAGCGGUGAAAUGCGUAGAUAUCGGGAGGAAUACCAGUGGCGAAGGCGGCCUUCUGGACGGAUACUGACGCUGAGACGCGAAAGCAUGGGGAGCAAACAGG